rnacentral:tRNA from 1 species
GGUGGCUCAGUGGUAGAGCGCUUGCCUUGCAAGCAUAAGGCCCUUGGUUCAAUUCCUCAGCACCA